ensembl:lncRNA
UUUGAUGUUAACGUUUCAUCAUAGCCUCCAGCUCCGAACACAUGUCAAAUUUCGCUUGUUUCAGGGGUUUUUUAGCUUCUACAUCUCUCUCUCCCAGUCGUAAACCGUCUUUCAGCAGUGAUCGGGGUGUCAGGUCAUUAUGAAGUAGCGGUUUCUCUACCCUGAAGAUGAUGUAGACACAAACACAAGGAAGAUGAAGGGGCGAGCGGCUGCGCUCCAUUUCUCUUCAUCGGAGGACAUCUCAAUGACGUACGACUAGAGAAGAGGGAUACAGAGGGAGGGGAGAGAGAUUGAGGUGAGCUUUGAGACGAGGAAUGACAAGGCAGAUGACAGGUACAUUUCAAGAAAAAGUGGCAAGAAGUGAGGGGGGAAACAGGGUCUGGAAAUGCCGCAAGUUGGAUUCAAGCCCAUGUAACCCACAUAAGCACCACAGCUGAGCCCACAUAGAUGAGGUGAAGCGGGUGCCACGUGAUACAUGACAUUAUUAAACAAACUCAAAGAUGGUACCCAAACACCACACUCUCAGCACACAGGGGACAGCAGCUGUCUGUUCAGGAGUGGAUGCAGAGUUGUUUGUAUGCAGGACCUGGACAAGUAAGUGUCUCAAUGUCUCCACACUCGGAAUAGAACCACUCUCAAAUAUCAAGCGGGCCGUAGGUCAGAAGCGGCUCAUGACGCUCCACUGACCUCAGCGGAGGAGAGAAACUCCUACAGCAGAGAAAAGCAGCUUUCAGGUCAGUGUGGACUCAGCACUUAAUGUUGGAUAUUCGUCAUGAUCGCUUUGUUAGGGUCUCUGGGGGUGGGGGUGGUACCAGGCAGCUCCUGGCCGUGUACAGUACCUCCAGUAUGACCUUAUCCUGAUAGCUUUUUUGUAGAAGCAUAACUGAGAGCUUGUAUUUCCUGAGAGUGCUUGUCAAUAAUAGACAACUAGCAGUUUCAGUGAACGAUCUGACAUUUAGUGCAUUAAAGAAGAAAUCCUAAUAUGCCAUCUUAAUGUAAAAAUUAUGCUUAAACCACAAAGCCUUUGAGAGGUUAUUAAGGACUUAUGUAUGUUUCAUUACAGGCUACAAGGAAAUUACAGAUUUAUGAAAGGGAAUAGUUAUUAUUUUACACAUUUAUAGCACUGGAAUCCAGACUGACAUGAAAUUUUAUGUUUGACUUAAGAGGCUGUUUGAAUGCUGAGAGGAAAGAGAGUGUUAUUUUCUAGUAAAUGUUUGCUGAAUGGUACUUUUAACACACUCUAUGACACUUUCGCCUGGAAUACUUGAUUCUGGUUCUGAUUCAACCUCAUGAGCUCAUGAGAAUAUGCAAGAAUUUUACAAAUUGGCAAUUGUGUAUGAAUUUAUUUAAUUCAUAAGCAGGCCAUACAACAACAUACAAAUGAGACUGUAUGAAUUCUUGUAAAAUUCAACAUAAUCCAAAAUAGUUAAAUUGCACUAUUUUUGUAUAAUGAUGAUGACUAAACUGGGCAAGCAACGGCAAAUACAAUACAAAAAAGAUAAAAAUUAAAUAAUUUAGCCUAAUAAACAUAAUAUCUCACUAUAUAGAAAAGAAAAA